rnacentral:SRP_RNA from 1 species
GCCAGGUGUGGUGGUGUGUGCCUGUAGUUCCAGCUACUCAGGAGGCUGAAGCUGGAGGAUCGCUUGAGUCCAGGAGUUCUGGGCUCUAGUGUGCUAUGCCAAUUGAGUGUCUGCACUAAGUUUGGCAUCAAUAUGGCGGCCUCCCGGGAGUGAGGAACUACCAGGUUGCCUAAGGAGGGGUGAACUGGCCCAGGUUGGAAAUGGAGCAGGUCAAAACCCCCACGCUGGUCAGUAGUGGGAUCACGCCUGUGAAUAGCCACUGCACUCCAGCCUGGGCAACAUAGCGAGACCCUGUCUCA